rnacentral:lncRNA from 1 species
GAGUGUGGAGAGAGAGAGAAAGUAUAUUGUGUAAUAACUUGGACAAAUAGAAGGGUAUAUUUUAUUAUUAUGAGACACCUUGUGAAAAUGAAAAGCUGUCAUUAAAAUGCAUUGCAUAAGAAACUAUUUAUUCUAAGAACUACUAUUCCUGAUCCCAAAGAGAUGUUCCAUAUUUCUGUUCAUACAACCUGGAAUGGCUUUUCAAAAUCAUGUAUUAAGGCAAUUU